rnacentral:lncRNA from 1 species
GUUGCACUUGAUAUGAAACUUUCAGCACUUGUGCAUAUAAACCAACUAAUCUCUCAGACUUUCUUUAUGAACCUUUCUCAACUUUUUUCACUUCACUUUUUUUUGCACUUUAUUUUUUUUUGACAAUUUUAUUAUAUAUAGAACUAAAAACAGGGACCAGAUUAUGAUACUUGCACAACUAAAGAUAGAAAUAAAACAAUAACCAGUAUCUAGAUAGGAUCAAAGUUGACACAAAGGAUGAUAUAGGCUAUAG